CAGCCGCCGCGGGAAUACGGAGGGAGCUAGCGUUGUUCGGAAUUACUGGGCGUAAAGCGCACGUAGGCGGUAUAUCAAGUCAGGGGUGAAAGCCCGGAGCUCAACUCCGGAACUGCCUUUGAAACUAGUAUGCUAGAAUCUUGUAGAGGGGGGUAGAAUUCCAGGUGUAGCGGUGAAAUGCGUAGAGAUCUGGAGGAAUACCGGUGGCGAAGGCGGCCCCCUGGACAAAGACUGACGCUCAGGUGCGAAAGCGUGGGGAGCAAACAGGAUUAGAGACCCGGGUAGUCCCUGUCUCUUAUAC
rnacentral:rRNA from 1 species